UAACAGCACAUGCAUUGUUGCCCAGAUGCAAGUGCAACCUUACGUGAUGUCCAAAAAAAUCCAUCAGUUAACAAACAUUGUAAUUUGACUUUGACUUAAAAUGUGGGGGUGUGAGGGAGGUACUACACACCCCAUAGUGUCCUGCAAACCUGAAGUAGGACGUGUUUAAAUGAUGCGUAUAAAAGCUCUUUAGAAAUCGGGCGCAAGUUCAGAAACGCCUUGUUCUGCACACUUGGAGUGGAAGAGAGGCAGGAUCAAGGCUGAGAAAGUGAGGUAAACGAGGGACGCUCGGCAAAUACAGGAGGGUGAAGUCCCGUCCUGAGUUAAAGGCUGAAGUGUUGCAAGUCCCGUCCAGCGUGGCUGAGAAAAGAAAAGCCGGAGUAAGGACGCAGGUGUUUGCGGAGUGACUAACUGGACAAAGCACAAAAUGAGACGGAAAGAAAUGGUAUCGCAGCGACAUGGGUUGUGCAAUUGUGCCUGAAUGUUAAGCCGCUGUACAUUGUCCAUGCCCACCAAUACCGAGGAAAGGAGCGCGGAUCUCGAGGAGGACAGGCGGUUCUGGAGCACUGGACACCGAUUUUGACAAAGCUUCUGCGUGUUUCCCAAAUUUUUUUUCCAAAAAGUUAUCUUAUUGUAUACAAAAGCUGACCUGCAAAUGGAUAGCGUACUUUUACUGACGUGGAUUUUCAUGGGUGCGUUUCUCCAGCCGAUUAAUACGGAGAAGUCGGAGCCGGACGCAGUGUUAAGCUGCUGUGAGGGUGACCUCCUCUUCCUGCUCGACUCCUCGGGCAGCGUUUCGUCCUACGAGUACGCGCAGAUGCUGAGCUUCCUGUCUGAGCUGCUGUCCCCCUUCUCGUUGGGCGCCGACCAGGUGCGAGUGGCGCUGCUGCAGGUGGGAACCCAGCCGCGCCUGGAGUUCGGUUUCGACACGCACACGAGUCAGCAAGGCUUGCAGGAGGCCCUGAAGGCUGCCAAACAGGUGCGCGGGGACACCAAUACAGAGGCGGCCCUGAAAAUGGCUCAGCAGGUGCUCCGGCCGGGCGCGGCCGGCGGGGGGCGGCCGGGGCUCCCGCGGGUGCUGCUGUGGCUCACCGACGGCUUGCAGCCUGGGCCGGUGGAGGCUCCGAUGGCGGCUCUGAGGCAGGAGGGCGUGGCAGUGCUGGCUGUUUCCACGGGACACAGCAACUACAGAGUGCUGCAGCAGGUGGUUACCCCGCCCACUGACAGCCACCUUUACUUCGUGGACAUCGAUGACAUGAGCAUCAUCAUCAAAGAACUGCGGGAUGCCAUCAUCGAGAUCAUCCGGGCUCAGCGACUGCAUGUGCGGGACGUGACCACCAGAAGCGCCAGCCUUCACUGGCGGCCCGUCCUGAGCGGUGGUACCGGCGUCUACAACAUUCAGCUUGACCCGGUUAUACCCGGGGAAGCAGGAGAAGGAGCUGGAGGAGGGGAUGGGGAGCGCGAUACCAGUUCCAGCACUGGAGGGCCUCAGCACCAGAGGCUGACUCGCCCAGCAGAUGCCAGCCAGGCUGAACUUAGACACCUGCUGCCUGGUACCACCUACAAGGUCACGCUGACCACACAGCCCAGUGUGGCAGCAAUGGAGCCCCUCACUGCCACCUUCACCACUCUGCCAGUGUCCCCAGAGCAAGAGGUGCUGAGCCCAGCUGUCGUGACAGUGUCAAAUCCAGGCAUGCGGAGCGUGAGGGUGAGUUGGGGUCCUCUGCAGCCAGAAUCGGUGAAGCUCUAUGUGGUGGAGUAUUCGGCCUUGCCGCAGGGGAAAGUGCGUGCCACCACCGUCACCCGGGACCAUAACUCCACCCUGCUGACCCAGCUGCAGCCUGACACGCAGUACCUCGUCACUGUGAGUGCGCUACACUCAUCCGGCCAAGAGAGGGCGAUGUCUGUCAAGGUGUGCACUCAAGAGGAGCUGCUCCCGCUGGCCGAUUUGCAGCUGACUCCAGCGGGUCAUGACUCGGUGCAGGUUCAGUGGAAGGGCAGUGUGGAGGGCCUUCAGGGCUACUGGGUCACCUGGCAGGGGGCCGGUGAGAACGUCAGCUCCUCUCGGUUCCUCCCGCGAGGCACGCUUUCCACACUGCUGACAGACCUGCCCGCCGCCGGAGCUCGCGUUUGUGUCUCGCCCGUCUACCGCACUGCCCGAGGAGACGGACUCUGCUGCACCGCCCGCUUCCAUCCCGAUCCAUCACCCUGGACUUACAGCCCUCACAGCCUCGCCCAAUCACAUGCUUGACAGACAGUGCAAGGGCCAUGAAUUCCAGGAGGGGCUGCGAAGGACUCAAAUUUCUGACACUGGACAGACAUGGAGAGUCCCGUGCACAUGCUCGCCUGGUAAAACACGAUUGGUUUGAAGCUGCCAGAGCUCCUGCUUCCAGAAGAGGGCACAAUUCCUACUUAAAGCUGUAAACGCUGGACUGGAAUCAUUUUAACUCAGCAACUGACCACCCGCAUUCUCAUUGGCUCAUCAUUUAGACACGUAGGCGCACACACAGACAAACAUGAACCCCCGGGUAUCAGUGCAUCUCUGAUUCAUCUCUGAUUUUCAUAUCUCAUAUGAGAAACUGUUGAAAACUUCCACAUUUAGUGCCACCUACACGUUUUGCUUUCUUACCACCUAUUCUACGGCAAUCUUUCAAUUAAGACAACAGGUAACAAGGACUCUGCAGCUGUCCUCCAAGUAGUCUUGCUUUCAUUUCCCAUGAUAUUUGUAAAAUAUAAAUGUCUAUUUCAGUCCCAUGUGUUUUUUGGUUAAGUCCACAUUUCUUAAUAGGCUUUAGAAAGUCUCAACUCAGGCUGGGCAUUUGCAGGUGCUAUAAAUUAUUGACAGAUCUCUAUAAGUUGCUUCAGCUGAGCAAUGCAUGUACUUUAUGUACCAGAUCAGCUACAAGUAACAGUUCAGAGUUGGUCCUGGUGAAACAUGGUGCUCGUAGGCUUUUGGGAUAUCCUUUAGGAAGCUCAGCAUAGAGUCGACAUGAGCUAAGAUGCAGUAGGAUCAGCAGCAUGGCUGUGUACGCUGGCUUAACUUGCAGCUAAGCUGAUAGAUGAGUUUGGUGGUGCUUUUCAUGACAGUUAUAUGAUUUAGUGUUUAGUGAAGCAAUUGAGCAAGUAUACUCAGAAAGAUAAGAGCAUGAAAUUAUUAUUAGGAUGUAGUAUUUUAAUGCUUGUGCAUAAUACAAAUGUAAUAUGGACUAAUUCAAUUGUUAAGUAACUAUUUUGAUACUUUUCAGAUGCCACUUUGUCUUCACACUAGAGAGAAACUUCCCCUAUUUUUUUUGCUAACAUUGAUUAAGUCAUUUAAAGGAUUUUUGUUUUCAUUUCCAAACAUCUACCAUGCAUGUGUUAUCUACAUUUUUGUAAAAAAAAAAAAAUCUCAAAAAAUAUUUAUACAUUGUCAUGGCAUUUGAAUGUGUUUGUGUCCUUAACAAAUAAUGAUUUGUGGAUUUGCCAAAAAAUGUUGUGCUAGCUCAUCUUUGUUUGAAUAUUUAAAUGUCUUUUUCGUAUAGCAGUGAUGGAAAGAAUAGCAUGUAAUAAAAAUAAAGGAUAUCUGCACAAACAAACAUGAAAAGUAUUUACUCCCAGGGCCCAUAUCACACAGCUAAAUUUCUUGCUUAGCCAGAUAACUUGUCGGAUUUAAGGUAGUCUGGGCUAAAUGUAAUUGAACGAAGAUGAAGCCCACUUACACCGGGGUACCUUAAAUCUAGCAAGUUAUUUAGCUAAGCAAUAAAUCUUGCUUCCUGAUGCAGACCCCUGGUAGCUGCUAUUUCAGUCCAGUUAAUAAUCAUGUCACAAUUAAAAAUGAGAACAUCUAAAGCACUAAAUUAUGAUGUCAGCUGAAAAAAUAGUAUCCUAAGCCAGAUGCUGUAUAGCCAGUGUAAACAGAACAAAUGUUUUGUGACUUGGAAGCAUAUUUAAAAGUUAAACCAUACAUUAGGAUCUAGUUAUGAAAAAUUGACUACCAAGAUAAAUUAGAGCUCCUUUGCAACCUGGAACUGGGCUAUUCUGAACUUGUCCUUCUGGAAAUCUGUCUAAAAAUAUGCUGGAAUGUGAUUUUGAAACCACACUUCACUGUUGAGGUUGGCUAACCAGUCCUGAGUCUGGCCCAUACCAAGCUGUUUUUUAAGAUGGACUUUUCAAACACAUAAGAUCCCAAUCCCCACAGAAAACUAUUUGCAGUGUUUUGCUGGAGUUAGUCUGGUAUCUUGUGUCUCAUCUACACCUACUGGGGAGUAUUCCAAAAAGCGGGUUUGGGUUUAAAUCCACUUAAAUAAGCCUAUCACAACUUAAAAAUAAUAAUCAGUUCCAGAUAACCUGGUUAUGACUCGGAUUUAAUGCUAACUGAAGCACAGUCUCACAGAACAAUAAAAAGCUGAAAAAGGGAUUUGCCAAGGGAACGGACGCCAAAAAGUGAACAGCUCCAUUCUAUCCAUUGUUGGAAAUACAAAUAUUAACAUCUGCUUAUGCUGAGUACGGAUUUGUUCUAAAGGGAAAGUAACACUGCAGCCGCAGAAAAGGAGAGGCAAACACACGCAACUAGUCAAUGAGUAAGUAGAUCACUCUAAUUGUAUUUAUAAUUCAUCAGACCAAUGCGGUCGAAAACAAUGUCUAACAUAAGGGAUGGAAUAUUUUACAUGAACGGUUCACUGUAUGUACAUUGUACUGUGUAUUUAUGGGAACAUAUUUAACAUAGUUGCUUUGCAGUUGCGACAAAAAGAACUUGACAGCAAAUACAACAUUCGUCUAACUAUAGACUAUGGCUAAUGAUUAACUUUUAUUCUGUAUCGAAGCGGAAUGCAGCUGAGCAGGGAAGUGACUAGAGAUUUUGGGCCCCAUGAGAGAACAUCAUAUGUGGUCCCCAAGCUAGACCAGUCCAAUUAUCUUCCAAAUAUUAAGGAUGCAUGUCAUUCAGGGCUCCUGGAAUUGUUGUAACUUUCCUCAAUUUUAUGGCACCUAGUAACCGAGGGCUGCAUAACAGGCAGAGGGCUGCUGGCACGAUCGUGGUCACCCCAUGAUGGAAGGAAUCCCAGGAAGCAGCUCUUCAGAAGUGACAACACUCCAGGAUACACACAUUAGAGCGACAUUCGGAAAGGGACGGAUGAAGCCGCACCACUAGGCAUGCAUGCAUAGGUUUGGCGGACAUAGAUACAGUAAACCAGGAUUUGAAGGUACACUUAAUUUUGUUUUUUACAUGUGUGCUUUAAUGGAUAUUUAUUUUACUUUUAUUUACUUGAGAGAAUAUUUAUUUUUAAAUAUUUUUUCUAUUAGUAGGUUGCAGCAGUACUGAGAGACUUCAUUUAAGACAGUCAUACUUUGUUCAGUAAACCACUGUUUAAUAAAGAGAAAGAAACUAGUAAAGUUGUUUCUUUUACCCCCACUGUACCAAAAACGUAACGAACCACGACUUCAAAACUGAGAUACAUACCGAACCGUGAUUUUGAUGUACCGUUACACCCCUAAUACAAUAUAUAUAUAUUAUUGGUUGUUGUAUUAAGUUAGACCUCCUAGCACAUUCCAAGAGAACAUUGGGCC